rnacentral:lncRNA from 1 species
UCAAACCAAAAGCCUCUCUACGGUUGAGAGUAAGAGACAAUAUUAGUUAAUGUUUAUAAGUGCCAAAUAAAUUUUAUUUUAAUUUUUAUAUCUUUCAGGUGACAAUCUAGCCAUCUAUAAAUUAUUUUUCAUCACAAAUUUUCUUAAAGCAAAGUCUCCAUUUCGCAAAGGACAAGUGGCCA